GCCUACCAUGGUUUUAACGGGUAACGGGGAAUUAGGGUUCGAUUCCGGAGAGGGAGCCUGAGAAACGGCUACCACAUCCAAGGAAGGCAGCAGGCGCGCAAAUUACCCAAUCCCGACACGGGGAGGUAGUGACAAUAAAUAACAAUACAGGGCUCUUUAGGGUCUUGUAAUUGGAAUGAGUACAAUUUAAAUCCCUUAACGAGGAACAAUUGGAGGGCAAGUCUGGUGCCAGCAGCCGCGGUAAUUCCAGCUCCAAUAGCGUAUAUUAAAGUUGUUGCAGUUAAAAAGCUCGUAGUUGAAUUUCGGGGUUCUACCGUUGGUCGGGCUUUGUCUGUACUGGCGUGUAGAAUUUCUACCUUCUGGGGAACCAUUAUGUUAUUAAUUUAGUGUAGUGGGAAACCAGGACCUUUACCUUGAAAAAAUUAGAGUGUUCAAAGCAGGCUUAUGUCUGAAUACAUUAGCAUGGAAUAAUAGAAUAGGACGGUGGUCCUGUUUUGUUGGUUUCUGAAUCACCGUAAUGAUUAAUA
rnacentral:rRNA from 1 species